UUGAUCUGUGCGUGGUCCACACAUGGGGGACUGAGUAUAAAAGACGGCUUCUGAAAGAUGGAGUGCGUUUGCAGAGUGAAGUAUUUUCAAGAUACGAGGGACCCGGGCCUAGAGGGGCCUAACGUUGAGGAAAUACUUCGUGAAAGGCUCUGUCGCCAGAUCAGGUUGGUUCCCUUUUUACGGAGACGUCCGAUAAAAAGGCAUUUUGGGAAGGUUCCGGCCGGAACACACAAAAAAUCUAAGGCAGGAAACCGCCGGACUCUGAAAGACGGGUUCGGGGCAAUUUGAGUCUUCACCACCAGACAGCAACCGUACAAAACUAAAGAACUGAGCGUGAUGAGGGUAAAUCCGGAUCUGGACUCCUUUCCCACCAUCAGCAGAAGAACCGAAGGAGAAGAAGCGCCGACCAACAACCAGAACAGGGUGGAAGCUCUGACACCACAGCAGCUGGAGGACACACACCACAGCAUGGACGCCUCAGCGACUCUCACAACGUCUGCAGCCAUCACGUUCUGGGCUCAUCAGAUGAACCAGCUAAUACAAGCGUGUGUGUCUGACACAGACACCUGCUUAUGACAAUCAGCAAAGGAAAACAAGGACAGAGCAACAGCAGAGAAGACGUGCUCUGACACAGACACUGGUUGAAACAACAGGAGAGGCUUCAGACGUGAUCGGCCCAAUAGAGCUGCAACCGAGGAUCCAGGAAAGGUCUGUCAUCGAGGAACAACUGUCCCAUUGAAAGGCUUCACCCGCUGGCGCUCACAUCAGACUGAUGGUUGGGGAAGGAGGAAGGUGACGGUUCCUUUUCACGUGACGUACAAGACGGUACCGCAAACACACACACACAUUCAUACACGCAAUGAAGAAACACGCUUACAGCUGAUACACGCUCAAAUUCAUGUUCAUGCUUAUCUGCUCGCAAUGAAGAAUCACUUUUUGCUCAAAAAGAAUCCCACAGAGUGAUUUUACAAUGAUGACAAACAGCUAAACGACAACUGCUGCAUGACUUUGCAGUCUGAUGGGUUUAAACUAUUUUAACUUGCAACAAAUUCAGUAAUAAAAUCCUUCAUGUUUCUAAAAAUACUUGUGCACAAUAUAGGUUUGUCUGGCCAGACUAUAGAAAAACAAAACAGACUAUAGGAAGACUGACUGAAACUGACUAUUAAUGACUAUUAAAGGGAAUACGACUAUUAGAGAGAAGUAAUAAUAAUUACUGUACGUACCAGACUAUUAAAGAAAACUCAUUUUUUCACUGUCUUAUGCAACAUCUGACAGCGAGACACCUUGAGAUUUAUUGUUGCUUUCAAAUUUAUGCCCAGUUAAUUUUUAGGAAGAGAUCCCAUGUGUAGUUUAGGUAUUUGAUUUAUUUCCACUCCAGACGGAGUGCAGGUUACAUCUACAGACAUUCUAAAUAAUCCCUCUUUUGUUGGUGUUAACUUCAGCUCAGCUGUGCUCUUAUCAUUAGCUGCUGAGGGGGGGCUGUAACUGAGGCCCUCACACAGGCUGCAUCACAGCCUGUUUAUGAUUUCACACACACUCAAACUGACCUCAACUUCCCUCUAUUGGGAUGAACACAGGUCUGCGCUUGCGAUUUCUUUUACUAACGAACAAAAAAGAUUUUUAUUUUUAUUCUACAGUUCCACACGUCCCUCUGUGACAACAUGAUGGAGACAGAUGACAGGACGUGGGUCCUUUCGUGAACAGAUGUCAACGGGGUGGAGACUGGUGAACGACUUCUGACCCCAUGUGAUGUAUUCACCUACUUUGCAUACUUUAGAAAACUUUUUUUUUUAUUCUGCCUGUCAUGUGCAGCAAACAGUGAACUGGGUACCUCCACAUUCUAAUGACACACAUUACACACUUUUGUUUUUAUUUUUAUUUUUCAGAGGACGCUCUGACCCAACACUCAGCCUUACAGGAAGCCCUGCUUCCCUGUGGCUCACAGUCAGAUAUGAUGUAGGUUUGAUCAGAGGAUGUGAACCAGUGGUCAUCACACCUAAAUCUGACCACAGACCAUGUGAACAACAACACCCUCUUAAAGGAAGCCAUAGAUGGUGUUACUGCAGACACCACUAAGCUACUGAAACAUUGGAUGCUAUAGGCCACAAAGAGAGCCUGUCUAAAUUACACUUUGUUCAGACAAAGGUUAUUUUCUGGGUCAUUGUAAUUACAGCUAAUGGCAAAUCCAUCUCACCCAACAGACUUAAAGCAAUUUGAGACCUGCCUAAACCGUGCACGUAUAAACAGCUGAUGUCUUUUCUAGGUUUUUGUUCUUAUUGUAGGACUUUCGUUCCUAACUUUACUGUCUUUGAGGCCCCACUCAGGGUUCUGAUGCAGACGUCUUCAUCGUCCACUUCUUGUCUCACGUGGACGUCUGAGGCUGAACAACGUUCACCGACCUCAUGCUUGCUCUUCAGUUGGCUCCUACCUUGGGUCUUCCUGAUCUGACCCUACGCGAGCUUUCACUCAAACAGUGGAUGAGAGAUCAGGUUGUACGACUUCUGUUCUUUUGUCCUCAUACUGUGUCUUUGAUUCUUUUGGAAUAGAUCCCACGUUCUACAGCCUGAUGGCUUAGAUGCAACACCACUUUGCUCAACAUGCUGAACAUUACUAUCAAGAGUCCGUCUUGAAGUCUGGCUCUUGCUAAGACACUACUCUGCUCAGGCUGCAGAGUUGAUCGCGUUGACUGAAGCUAGUAAACUAGCAGAAGGAGAGUCUGUUACCAUCUACAGACUCCACAGAUGCUUGUCACACGUUGGUUCUCCUUGGAAGCAUGGGAAGCUUUGAAGUCUGAUUGCAAACCUAUCUUACAUCAUGAUAAGGUUCUGCUUUGCUGGACGCUGUCCUGCUGCCUACAGCUAAUGCUGUUUGUAACUGUCCAACAUCAGUGACGACUUUGUUUCUGCCGACAUGCAGCUGCAGACGCUGCUGCGAAGGUCGCUGCCCAACAACCCCUCCCUUCUCUGAUCCUCGUUUUCUCUCCUGAUCCUUGUUCCCUCUCCAACUCUCUCUAUCCUUUCCUUCCUCAUCUCCCUGUGCUUUAAACAUUUUCUACCUCACAGGAACGCAGACUCUGGCUGACGAAUGGUUCCACCUGUAGCCAUGGAGUCUGGUUUGGGCCUGAUGGCAGCCGUGCCGCCCAAACACCUUUUUCCCCACAAUUCAGAUUUCCCAACAGGUGAAAACAGGCGACAGGACCAUUACACCAUCCAACCAGGGGACUGGGCGAUCGUUAAGGACUUCAGGAGGAAGCAUUGGGACUCCAAACGAUGGCGAGGCCCCUUCCAGGUCCUUCUGACGACCCACACGGCUGAAAGAUCGCAGUGAGAGUGACUUGGAUCCACUCCAUCCACUGCAGGAAGGUCCCAGAUCCAACAGACGACCAUCCAUCUACAUCCCACGGAGAAAACCACCACU